UCAUUACUAGAGCAAAGGAUAGACAGCGCCCGCGGAGCUCGCUCCCGGGGCUACCCUACUCCCGUAGGGUUUAGAGUCGUCGGGCCUCUCGGAGAAGCUCGGUCCUGAACUCCACCCUUGAAUAAACUACCUUUGUUGCUUUGGCGGGCCGCCUCGUGCCAGCGGCUUCGGCUGUUGAGUGCCCGCCAGAGGACCCCAACUCUUGUUUUUAGUGAUGUCUGAGUACUAUAUAAUAGUUAAAACUUUCAACAACGGAUCUCUUGGUUCUGGCAUCGAUGAAGAACGCAGCGAAAUGCGAUAAGUAAUGUGAAUUGCAGAAUUCAGUGAAUCAUCGAAUCUUUGAACGCACAUUGCGCCCUCUGGUAUUCCGGGGGGCAUGCCUGUUCGAGCGUCAUUAUAACCACUCAAGCUCUCGCUUGGUAUUGGGGUUCGCGGUUUCGCGGCCCCUAAAAUCAGUGGCGGUGCCUGUCGGCUCUACGCGUAGUAAUACUCCUCGCGAUUGAGUCCGGUAGGUCUACUUGCCAGCAACCCCUAAUUUUUUUAAGGUUGACCUCGGAUCAGGUAGGGAUACCCGCUGAACUUAAGCAUAUCAAA
rnacentral:rRNA from 1 species